GCAGCCCCUUGGGUAGGGAGCCCUGAUAAAAGGGCAGGAUCUGGUCUUGUAGAGCGAGAGCCCUGGGAGGGGUUCAGUGGAGGAACAGGGCGAGGGGAACCGAGGAGGGCAGACCUCAGUUGCAGUGUGAACUGGCUCCUGUCUGUGAUAAUGCAAAGACCAUAGAGGCAGCAGCCGGGAGUCUGGUGGAGUGACCCUGGACUGCCUGUCCUAGGGUCCCUGGGCUGGAACCCAGGGCAGAGUCCAGGCCUGGACUCCCCUACCUGCUCUGGGGAAGGCGGUGAGAAGCCCCCAAGAAGGGGAUGUGGACUGGUGGGAGCCCUGGGGUUAUGGGCCCAGGCAGGGAGCGGGAGACCGGACGGUUGUUGGACGUUGUUCCCCAAAAAGGGGGGACUAUGACGUUAUGAGUGUAAUAUAAUAUCUCAUUGAAAGGUGACAGGGCCAGAAAGAGUUAAUGAACUCCCAGACCUAGGGCUGAACUUUAAAGACUGGGGAGGAAGAGAUGGAAAUGGAGCGAGCUGUGAAACGCAGCCGGCAUUGUGAGAGAGAGAAGGGAGCCGUGUGCUCAGGGCUUGUGAUGUCAGCAAACGAGUCUUGGCUAUGGCUAUGGCUUUGAUUCAAAGACCAAAAAGCGAAUAUUAAUAUAUACUUGAGUGAAAUAGUAUUAUUGUCUAUGUCUCUUUGAAGGUUGUGGUAACCUGUAUCUGAACUGUUUAAUGGAUAAAUUACCCUCUGCUAAUUGCCAGGAUGUUUGGGAGAAGGAAGGUUGAGCCUAUUGUCUUCUCAGGCCAAGAGGCUGCUGGAAAUGUAUAAAAGCCUUGGGACACGAUCCUUCAUCUCAGAUCUGCUUUGGGUUUCAAGAAGGGGAAACCCUGAGCCACGAGGAUUGAGAUCCCCAGUCGCUGACUGGAGUCACCCUGAAUAUGGACAUUGGACUGUAACCUGUGGCCUAUUUCUAAAAGGACAUUUGGCAACUACAAACUCACCAUCUCAGCUAUCUGUCUGCACAGAUCGG